rnacentral:sRNA from 1 species
CUAGACAGACAUAAAGAAAAGCAGAUGUCAUAUAACCAGCUUGGGACAAAAAAGAAUGUGGAAACACUCAUCGUUGAACAUAUAAACAAACCUCAGAAUACCAUUCCCCGAAGUUCUCAUCUUUCUUAACACUGAGUCCGAGACCCGUUUCCUUCUUGACGUCCUUCUUCUUCUGUCCACUCGAAGAAGCCUUUGCAACCUUUUCUUUCACAACCUUUUCUUUCUUAACCUUUUCUUUCUUUUCUUUCACAACCUUUUCUUUUUGUUCACUGGGAUCAGCCAUUGCAAC